rnacentral:misc_RNA from 1 species
UCCGAGUUGACCCCGGCAGUCUCCUAUGAGUCCCCGCCAUAACGCGCUGGCAACAUAGAACGAGGGUUGCGCUCGUUGCGGGACUUAACCCAACAUCUCACGACACGAGCUGACGACAACCAUGCACCACCUGUACACCGCCCUUGCGGACCCCAUAUCUCUAUGAGUUUUCGGUGUAUGUCAAGCCUUGGUAAGGUUCUUCGCGUUGCGUCGAAUUAAGCCACAUGCUCCGCUGCUUGUGCGGGCCCCCGUCAAUUCCUUUGAGUUUUAACCUUGCGGCCGUACUCCCCAGGCGGAUGACUUAACGCGUUAGCUGCGCCACCGAAACCCUAAGGGCCCCGACAGCUAGUACUCAUCGUUUACGGCGUGGACUAC